rnacentral:rRNA from 1 species
UUGCCUAGGGAGGCAGCAGUGGGGGAUAUUGCACAAUGGGGGAAACCCUGAUGCAGCGACGCCGCGUGUGGGAAGACGGUCUUCUGGAUUGUAAACCACUGUCCCCAGGGACGAAAAUGACGGUACCUGGGGAGGAAGCUCCGGCUAACUACGUGCCAGCAGCCGCGGUAAUACGUAGGGAGCAAGCGUUGUCCGGAAUUACUGGGUGUAAAGGGAGCGUAGGCGGGGAUGCAAGUUGGGUGUCAAAACUACCGGCUCAACCGAUAGUCGCACUCAAACCUGCAGCUCUUGAGUGAAGUAGAGGC